rnacentral:rRNA from 1 species
UACGGGGGGGGCAAGCGUUGUUCGGAAUUACUGGGCGUAAAGGGCUUGUAGGUGGCCAACUAAGUCAGACGUGAAAUCCCUCAGCUUAACUGGGGAACUGCUUCUGAUACUGGAUGGCUUGAGUUUGGGAGAGGGAUGCGGAAUUCCAGGUGUAGCGGUGAAAUACGUAGAUAUCUGGAGGAACACCGGUGGCGAAGGCGGCAUCCUGGACCAACACUGACACUGAAAAGCGAAAGCCAGGGGAGCAAACGGG